CGAAUGGGGGCACCCUGUCAGCAAUGCCGCGUGAGUGAAGAAGGCCUUCGGGUUGUAAAGCUCUUUUGUCAGGGAAGAAACACCGGCUCUAACACAGUCCGGGAAUGACGGUACCUGAAGAAUAAGCACCGGCUAACUACGUGCCAGCAGCCGCGGUAAUACGUAGGGUGCAAGCGUUAAUCGGAAUUACUGGGCGUAAAGCGUGCGCAGGCGGUUAUACAAGACAGGCGUGAAAUCCCCGGGCUUAACCUGGGAAUGGCGCCUGUGACUGUAUAGCUAGAGUGUGUCAGAGGGGGGUAGAAUUCCACGUGUAGCAGUGAAAGGCGUAGAUAUGUGGAGGAAUACCAAUGGCGAAGGCAGCCCCCUGGGAUAACACUGACGCUCAUGCACGAAA
rnacentral:rRNA from 1 species